UACGUAGGGGGCAAGCGUUGUCCGGAAUCAUUGGGCGUAAAGCGCGUGUAGGCGGCUAGGUAAGUCUGCUCUGAAAGCCCGGGGCUCAACCCCGGGAGGCGGGUGGAUACUGUCUAGCUCGAGUCCGGAAGAGGAGUGUGGAAUUCCUGGUGUAGCGGUGAAAUGCGCAGAUAUCAGGAGGAACACCAAUGGCGAAGGCAGCUCACUGGGACGAUACUGACGCUGAGGAGCGAAAGCCAGGGGAGCAAACGGG
rnacentral:rRNA from 1 species